rnacentral:rRNA from 1 species
GCAGCUACACAUGCAGUCGAGCGGAUGACGGGGGCUUGCUCCUUGAUUCAGCGGCGGACGGGUGAGUAAUGCCUAGGAAUCUGCCUGGUAGUGGGGGACAACGUUUCGAAAGGAACGCUAAUACCGCAUACGUCCUACGGGAGAAAGCAGGGGACCUUCGGGCCUUGCGCUAUCAGAUGAGCCUAGGUCGGAUUAGCUAGUUGGUGGGGUAAUGGCUCACCUAGGCGACGAUCCGUAACUGGUCUGAGAGGAUGAUCAGUCACACUGGAACUGAGACACGGUCCAGACUCCUACGGGAGGCAGCAGUGGGGAAUAUUGGACAAUGGGCGAAAGCCUGAUCCAGCCAUGCCGCGUGUGUGAAGAAGGUCUUCGGAUUGUAAAGCACUUUAAGUUGGGAGGAAGGGCAGUAAGCUAAUACCUUGCUGUUUUGACGUUACCGACAGAAUAAGCACCGGCUAACUCUGUGCCAGCAGCCGCGGUAAUACAGAGGGUGCAAGCGUUAAUCGGAAUUACUGGGCGUAAAGCGCGCGUAGGUGGUUUGUUAAGUUGGAUGUGAAAGCCCCGGGCUCAACCUGGGAACUGCAUCCAAAACUGGCAAGCUAGAGUACGGUAGAGGGUGGUGGAAUUUCCUGUGUAGCGGUGAAAUGCGUAGAUAUAGGAAGGAACACCAGUGGCGAAGGCGACCACCUGGACUGAUACUGACACUGAGGUGCGAAAGCGUGGGGAGCAAACAGGAUUAGAUACCCUGGGUAGUCCACGCCGUAAACGAUGUCAACUAGCCGUUGGAAUCCUUGAGAUUUUAGUGGCGCAGCUAACGCAUUAAGUUGACCGCCUGGGGAGUACGGGCCGCAAGGUUAAAACUCAAGGGAAUUGACGG